CCCGCCCCCUCGCAAGGAGCAUGCGCCACCGCGGCCGAAGGCCUGGAGGGGCGCGUUUACGGGUUUUCGAAGUGGUGCGGGGGUACUCGGCGGGAGCGAGGUCACGCUCCAGAUUCCUAACCUGCUAUCUGCUGGGCGGAGCCUCUGAGUUUAGCUGAGUCUCGGAGAUGGAAUUGGGGCAGGCGCUUGUCACAUAAAGUCCGUGCCCUGCUCGCGGGCUCCUGUCGCAACACUGACAAACCCGGGAGCCUUCGUGAGAGUGCAAAAAUGAGAGAUGAGGCACCAGAGGUCCCCAGGGCGCAAAUCUGAAAGCCAGCGCCUCCUGAGCACAGGCUGCCAGGGGCGAGACGACAUUAGACAUUGCCCCCCAGAUAUAAGAAGCAUCGCUUCCUUCAGACAGAGGUGGUGAGACUAUGAAGUAAUGGGACAGUUCCUCUUACUACGCUCCUCGGGAAGGCAGUUUGUGCCUCUCUGCUUUAGGCAUCAUCCUUUAUGGCUAAAAUUCUGCAGCCUGAUUGUUGAAUGUAGUGAAUGCUACCCUUGUUACAAGCUUGUGAUAACUGUAGUGAUGAUAAUAGCUACAGUUUACUGAAUGUCUACUUGGUGUCAGGCAAUAUGCUUCUUCGGGCUUCACAUCCAUAACCUGAAUUCCUCAAAAAACCCAAUCCUCUAAAAUAGCCAUUAUUUUCUCUUUAUUUAUUACUUAUAGAUGAGCAAAUUUUAAAGCUUAGAGCGAUAAACUUUUUUAAGUUCAUGCACCUAAGAAGUGGCAAAAUUUCAUUGGGACCUAGAUCUGAUUCAAAUCCUACACUUUACAUUCUCUCUUUGAAAUAGUAAACUGAUAGCAGUUAAAUUUUAAAAUCUAGGUGAAAGAGGUAAGACCAUGAAAUGACAAAAUCUUAAGGCUUUAAAGGAUAAGGAUGGGAUGACAGGAAUUCACGAAUGUUUAAAAACUGUGAUUGGGUUUAUUGACAAGAAUCAGAAUGGAAUCUAAUACGCAGAUUGAUAGAUGAAGCAUAAAACAAGACCAGAUGCUGUGGUUUCCAGGAUGCACUUGGCUUCCCAUCCUUUAUGACCUGGAGCAUUUUUUGCUGUAAACGAGAGAUCAGAAAAAGGGACAGUCAAGGAAAGGAGACAAAGAGGUCGACUCCCCAACAGUGUUUUCUUCCCCUUUGGUGUUUUGCAAAAAGCUGAAGAGAUGCUAUAAUGAUUCUUUAACCAACUGAAAGCAGCGUUAGAAUUCUGUCUAGAUAUUCUUGAACCUCUGACUGGGCAGUGUUCCACCUUCCACACUCCAGUCCAUCCAUCAUUCAAUACUACUUAUGCUAGAUAAACUGGCUUGCCAUAGUUUAUUAUCAUGUUGUCCUCACAGACUAGUAUUCAAGGAGCCUCCCCUGACCACUUCUUGGAACUCUUGGAAAUAAACAGAGAAACAGUUUAAAUGAAUGGUAAAAACCCAUGAAGGGCUUCCCUGGUGGCGCAGUGGUUGAGAGUCUGCCUGCCGAUGCAGAGGACACGGGUUCGUGCCCCGGUCUGGGAGGAUCCCACGUGCCGCGGAGCAGCUGGGCCCGUGAGCCAUGGCCGCUGAGCCUGCGCGUCUGGAGCCUGUGCUCCGCAACGGGAGAGGCCACAGCAGUGAGAGGCCCACAUACCGCAAAAAACAAAACAAAAAACAAACAAACAUGAAAUACAGUGAUUGUUUUUUUUUUGGGGGGGAGUAAAUAAUUAUAUGUCUUCAGUUGAGAGAAUCAUAAGGAUUUCUAGCACAUGAAUACACAUUCACAGCCCCCAAACAGAAGACAACUAAAAAAUCUCUGCAGAGGGACAGCAUUUCCCCCUCAUUCCAUAGGAGGGUGGGGAUCUGUGACACUCCAUUUUAAUGAUCAUCCCCAAAUUCUGUUUCUGUGCCCAACACAGUAAAGCAUUUCCAAGUACAGAGUGUCAGACAGGUGAACAACAAACAGCCUCUGUCAAAAUAGAGAGAGAGAUUAAGUAAUUUACCCAGGGCAAGUAGCUAGUAAGUAGCUGCUAGUAAGUAGCAGAGUUAGAAUUUGAACCAGCACGUUUAGUUCGAGAGCCUGUGUUCAUACUCAUGCCCUGUUCCCAAAUUUGUUAAAACUUAGAAAAAUUGUUACAUGGAUUGUUAGGGCUCCUUAAAAGCAAGAAAAACAUGACAAAUUAACACUGCUGGAUUUACAACCUACUUUAUAAAAGCAUUAUUAGAGGAUAUCUUUUGAGUGCUAUGGAUUUGAUUUAUGAGAAUGUAAAAUGUUGACUAGAAGCAAUAUCUAGCUCCAUUCUAAGCAGGACUAGGCUUCUGAUGGUUCAUUUUAUAUUUCAACUAUAUAAUUGAGAAGGAAUUGAUGAAUGCCUCUGAAUUUUUUUCUUCUCAUAUGUACUUUUUCUGAUAAAAAUUGUUUUCAAAUGUUAAGACAGCAGUACGUCAUAUUACAGUUUUAUUUUUAAAUUAACAUAUAGUAAAGUUGAUUGUGUGUGCGUACCUGCAUGUGUGUACAUGUGUGUAUACACAUGUGUACAUGUACACAUGUGUACAUGUGCAUGUGUGUACAGUUCUAUGAAUUUAAUACGAUAGAUUCAUAUAACCACAGUCAAGAUAUAUAACAGUUCCAUUAUCCUAAGAAACUCCCUUGUAUUACCCCUUUGUACGUACCUCCUCAACCCUUGGCAACCAUGGAUCUAAUCUCCAUCACUGUAGUUUUAUCUUUAUGAGAAUGUCAUAUAUAAAUUAAAUCCUACAGUAUAUAACUUUCUGAGACUGGCUUCUCUUACUUAACAUGCCUUUGAGAUUCAUCUGAGAUUUGCAUAUGCCAGUAGUUCAUUCAUUUUCAUUGCUGAGUAGUAUUCCAUUGUAGAGAUGUACCACAGUUUGUCCAUUCAUUUGUUGAAGGACGUUUCAGUUGUUUCCAGUUUUUGGUAAUUGUGAAUAGAGCUGCUCUAAACAUUUGUGUGUAGGUUUUUGUGUGAACAGAAGUUUUCAUUUCCUUAAAGUAAAUACCCAGGAGUAGGAUUGCUAGGUCAUAUGAUAAGAGUAUUUUCAACUUUUUGAGAGACUGCCAAAUGGUUUUCCCCAAUGGCUAUACCAUUUUGCAUUUCCAUGAGAAUGUAUGAGCAUUCGAUUUGUUUUGUAUCCUCACCAGAACUUGUUAUUAUCAGUAUUUUUUAUUUUAGGUAUUGUAAUAGGUAUCUCAUUAUUUUAAUUGACAUUUCCCUAAUGAUCAACAAUAUUAAUAUCUUUUUUAACAGCUUAUUUGCCAUCUAUUUAUCCACUUCAGUGAAAUGUUUGUUCGAGUCUUUUGCUCAUUUUUAAAUUGGGUUGUUUGUUUUCUUACUGUUAAGUUUUGAGAAUUCUUCAAAUAUAUAUUUGAAGUUCGAGAGCCUCAAGAGAUCCAUAGCACUCAAAAGAUAUCCUCUAAUAAUGCUUUUAUAAAGUAGGUUGUAAAUCCAGCAGUGUUAAUUUGUCAUGUUUUUCUUGCUUUUAAGGAGCCCUAACAAUCCAUGUGACAAUUUUUCUAAAUUUUAACAAAUUUGGGAACAGGGCAUGAGUAUCAACACAGGCUCUUCAAAUAUAUAUAUUCUAGAUAUAAGGCCUUUGUCAGUAUGUGAUUUGCAAAUAUUUUCUUCUGGUGUGUAACUUAUCUUUUUAUUCUUUUACAGUGUCUUUUAUAAAGUUUUAAAUGUUAAGUCCAGCUUAUCAUUUUUUCUUUUAUGGAUCAUGUUUUUGGUAUCAUGUGUAAGAACUCUUUGCUUAACCCCAGGUUAUGAAGAUUUUCUCUACAGGUUUCUUCGAAAAGUUUUAUAUUUUACAUUUAGAUCUAUGAUACAUUUUGAGUUAAUUUUUGUACAAAAUGUGAGAUUAAGGUUGAGGUUCAGUUUUAAGUAUAUGAAUGUCCAAUUGGUCCAAUAUCAUUUAUUGAAAAGACAAUCUUUUGGGCCUUUGUCAAAAAUCAGUUGGCUAUAUCUGCAUGGAUAUGAGCAUGGAUCUGUUUCUGGGCUGUCUAUUCCACUGAUCUAAGUGACUAUCCCUUCACCAGUAUCACACUUAGUUAAUCUAGCUUUAUAGUACAACUUAAAAAUCUGGUAAUAUGAUUUCUCCAACUUUAUUCUUUUUCUUCAAACUUAUUUAGGUUUUUAUAUUGCCUUUGAAUUUCUAUAUGAAUUUUAGAAUCAGCUUGCCUAUAUCUUGAAAAAUUCUGCUGGGAUAGUUCAUGAAAUUGAGUUAAAUCUGUACACAAAUUGGGGAGUUGAGUCUUCCUGUCCCAAAACAUGCUAUGUCUUUCCAUUUAUUUAGGUCUUUGAUUUCUUUCAUUUAUGUUUUCUAGUUUUCAGCAUAUAGAUACUGUUCUGUCAAUGUUUUGUUAAAUUUAUUCUUAGAUAUUUCAAUAUUUUUGGAGCUAUUGUAAAUGGUAUUGUUUUUAAAAUAUCUGUUUCAAUUGUUCACUGCUGGUAUACAGGUAUAUAAUUACUAUUGUGUUUUUAACUUAUAUCCUGUGACUGUACUUAACUUAGUUCUAGGAGUUUUUUGGGUUUUGUUGAUUUUUGGUCACUUCUUUUGGUUUCAAUCAUGUCAUCUGCAAAUAAGAACAUUUUAAUUUCUUCCUUUUCAAUCUGUAUGCCUUUAUCUCUUAUUCUUGCCUUAUUAUACUGGUUAAGAAUUCUAGUAUAAUGUCAAAUAACAGCAGUGAGAAAGAACAUCCUUGCCUUGUUCCUGAUCUUAGGGGGAAAGCAUUCAGUAUUUUACCACUAAGUGUGACAUUAGAUGUUGGCUUUUUGUACAUAAGAUGAAGAAGUUCCCUUCUAUCUCAGUAAGCUGAGAAUUUUAAAAAUCUUGAAUGGAUGUUGAAUUUUUUCCAAUGCUAUUUCUGUAUCAGUUGAUAUGAUUAUGUACAUAGUUUUUCUUCUUUAGUCUACUAAUAUAGUGGAUUACACUGACUGAGUUUUCAAAUAUUGAAGCAGCCUUGCCUUUUCAGGAUAAGUGCUACUUGUUUGUAGUAUAUAAUUUAAAAAACUACUUCUGGACUCAGUGUGCUCAGUGUGUUUGACUUUCAUAUUAAUGUUUAUGAGAGAUAUUAAUCUAUAGUUUUUUCCCCUGUACUGUCUUUUAUACAGUAUUUGGUAUCAGAGUAAUGCUGGUUUUAUAAAAAUGAGUUGGGAAGUGUUUCCUCCUCUUCUAUUUUCUGGAAGAGCUUGUGUAGUAUCAUUUCAUCUUUAAAUGUUUAAUAGAAUUCUACCUUUAGGCCAGGAAAAUUUUUUUGAAAGCCUUUUAACUAUGAAUUCAAUUUCUCUGUAGUUACAGGAUUCUUCACGUUAUCUAUUUUCUCUUUGAUGAGUUUUCGUAGUUUGUUGUCAAGGAAUUAGUCUAUUUCACCUUGGUUGUCAUAUUUAUGCAUGUAUUCCCUUAUCCUUGUAAUGUCUCUAGGGUCUGUGGUGAUAUCUUUUUUCAUUCCUGAUAUUGAUAGUUUGUGUCUUUUGUUUAUGAAUUUCAUUGAGUUUUAUGGAUUUCAUUGAUCUCAAAGAAUCAGUUUUUUAUUUUAUGGAUUUUUCUCUAUUUUGUUUUCAAUUUCAUUCAUUUCUGCUCUUAGCUUUAUUUCCUUCCUUCUGCUUUAUUUGCUUUUUUAAAAAAGAUCAGUGAUUUGAGACCUUUUUUCUUUUUUUAUAUAAGCAAUUAAUGCUGUAAAUUUCCCUCUUUGGUUUAGCUGACUCCCACAAUUUUUGCUAUGUUGUACUUUCAUUUCUAUUUAAUUAAAAAUAUUUUUACAUUUCCCUUUUGACUUCCUCUUUGACCCACAGAUUAUUUAGAAGUGUGUUGUUUACAAAUGUUUGGAGAUUUUCUUUAUUUUCCAUUACUGAAAUCUAAUAUAACCCUAUUAUGAUUAGAGAGCAUACUGUGUAUGAUUUCAAUUCUUUCACAUUUUUUUAGGCUGGUAUUAUGAUCCAGAUAUUGUCUGUCUUGGUGAAUGUUCCAUGUUCAUUUAAAAUAAUAUGUAUUUUGCCUAGUGUUGAGUGGACUAAUCAAUAAAUAUCUG